GGAAUGAAGCGCCAUGGAGGGUGAGAGCCCCGUCCAUCCCGCACAGGAUCCAUUCGUACAAGGACGCUUCAACCGAGUCGGGUAGCUUGGGAAUGCUGCUCUAAUUGGUGGUAAAUCUCAUCAAAGGCUAAAUAGUGGUGGGAGACCGAUAGCGAACAAGUACCGUGAGGGAAAGAUGGAAAGAACUUUGAAAAGAGAGUGAAAAGCACUUGAAACCGUCACGGGGGAAGCGGAUUGCGUGAGUGAUGGUGUCGCUUGUUCAGCGCUUUAUUGCGUGCAUUCUGGCGGCGCCGUGCCGGCGUGGCUGGCUGGACUGUGAUUUUGACAGUCUCGGCUGGUGAGGGCUCCCUCGUAUGAGGUGAGGACGCGGGCAAAAUGACGCAAUACGACCCGUCUUGAAACACGGACCAAGGAGUCUAGCACGGCUGCGAGUCGAAGAGUGAUUAAACUCAAGGGCGCAGUGAAAGCGAAAUUAUAAGCAAAUUGGGGAGGCGUUGCGUUUUUAACAAAAUGUCCUACCUCGAGCAUUUGUGCUGGGACCCGAAAGAUGGUGAACUAUGCCGGAGUAGGGCAAAGCCAGAGGAAACUCUGGUGGAGGCUCGUAGCGAUGCUGACGUGCAAAUCGCUCGUCGAACUUGGGUAUAGGGGCGAAAGACUAAUCGAACCAUCUAGUAGCUGGUUCCCUCCGAAGUUUCUCUCAGGAUAGCGGGCCGACACGCGUUUGUUGUUUUGUGCGGUAAAGCGAAUGAUUAGUGCAUUUGGGGUACGAAGUACUUCGGGCGAUUCUCAAACUUUAAAUGCGCAAGGGGGUGGCUGCUUAAUUGAGCCUACUCUUUGAAAAACGUCGGCCCUGUGGGCCACUUUUGGUAAGCAGAACUGGCGAUAAGGGAUGAACCUUAAGCGCGGUUAAGGCGCCUCAUUACCCGCUUAU
rnacentral:rRNA from 1 species